rnacentral:rRNA from 1 species
GACGAACGCUGGCGGCGUGCUUAACACAUGCAAGUCGAACGGUGAAGCGCCUUCCUUUUUGGUGGGUGUGGAUGAGUGGCGAACGGGUGAGUAACACGUGAGUAACCUGCCCCCUUCUUCUGGAUAACCGCAUGAAAGUGUGGCUAAUACGGGAUAUUCUGGGUCUGUCGCUUGAUGGGUCUGGGAAAGAUAUUGUUUCGGGGGGGGAGGGGCUCGCGGUCUAUCAGCUUGUUGGUGUGGUGACGGCUUACCGAGGCGGUGACGGGUAGCUGGCGUGAGAGGGUUGGCGGUCACACUGCUGCUGCGUCUCCUGCCCGUCUCCUGUGGGAGGCAGCUGUGGGUAAUAUUGCACAGUGGGCGCUAGCCUGAUGCAGCGUCGCCGCGUAAGGGAUGGUGGCCUUCGGGUUGUGAGCCUCUUUCGCCAGUGAAGCAGGCCUGCCUCGUUUGUGGGUGGGUUGACGGUAGCUGGAUAAGAAGCGCCGGCUAACUACGUG